AGGGAAGAAGCGAAAGUGACGGUACCUAAAGAAGAAGCACCGGCUAACUAUGUGCCAGCAGCCGCGGUAAUACAUAGGGUGCAAGCGUUGUCCGGAAUUAUUGGGCGUAAAGAGCUCGUAGGUCGUUUGUCGCGUCGAUUGUGAAAAUCUGAGGCUCAACCUCAGACCUGCAGUCGAUACGGGCAAACUAGAGUGUGGUAGGGGAGACUGGAAUUCCUGGUGUAGCGGUGGAAUGCGCAGAUAUCAGGAGGAACACCAAUGGCGAAGGCAGGUCUCUGGGCCAUAACUGACACUGAGGAGCGAAAGUGCGGGGAGCGAACAGGAUUAGAUACCCUGGUAGUCCGCACCGUAAACGGUGGGCACUAGUUGUGGGAACCUUCCACGGUUUCCGCGACGCAGCAAACGCAUUAAGUGCCCCGCCUGGGGAGUACGAUCGCAAGAUUAAAACUCAAAGGAAUUGACGGGGCCCCGCACAAGCAGCGGAGCAUGCGGCUUAAUUCGACGCAACGCGAAGAACCUUACCAAGGCUUGACAUAUAGCGAAAAGUGGCAGAGAUGUCAUGUCCGCAAGGGCGCUAUACAGGUGGUGCAUGGUUGUCGUCAGCUCGUGUCGUGAGAUGUUGGGUUAAGUCCCGCAACGAGCGCAACCCUCGUUCUGUGUUACCAGCAUUCAGUUGGGGACUCACAGGAGACUGCCGGGGUCAACUCGGAGGAAGGUGGGGAUGACGUCAAAUCAUCAUGCCCCUUAUGUCUUGGGCUGCACGCAUGCUACAAUGGCCGGUACAAAGUGCUGCGAGAUCGUAAGAUUGAGCGAAUCACAUAAAGCCGGUCUCAGUUCGGAUUGAGGUCUGCAACUCGACCUCAUGAAGUCGGAGUUGCUAGUAAUCGUAGAUCAGCAACGCUACGGUGAAUACGUUCCCGGGGCUUGUACACACCGCCCGUCACGUCACGAAAGUCGGUAACACCCAAAGUUAGUGGCCCAACCGCAAGGAGGGAGCUACCUAAGGUGGGAUCGGUGAUUGGGACGAAGUCGUAACAAGGUAGCCGUACCGGAAGGUGCGGCUG
rnacentral:rRNA from 1 species